UACGGAGGAUGCGAGCGUUAUCCGGAUUUAUUGGGUUUAAAGGGUGCGCAGGCGGCACGGCAAGCCGGCGGUCAAAUCGCGGGGCUCAACCCCGCCCAGCCGUUGGAACUGCCGGGCUAGAGUGGGCGAGAAGUGCGCGGAAUGCGUGGUGUAGCGGUGAAAUGCAUAGAUAUCACGCAGAACUCCGAUUGCGAAGGCAGCGCACCGGCGCCCUACUGACGCUCAGGCACGAAAGCGUGGGUAUCGAGCAGG
rnacentral:rRNA from 1 species